GUUAAAUGUCCUCGUUUAAAAAGAUUACAUAUAUUCCAGUUAAAUAAUAGCUGUGGGAGAGGGCAAUUAGCAGGCUCGGUCAGGAGAGAAAAGAUGUUUUCAGAUGAGAUUUGAAAUGAGAUAGAGAGUCAAUGAGGCAGAAAGAUACAAGACAUUUUUCCUCUGAAAUUUCCUUAAAUUUGUUACUAAUGAUACCUUAAGAUCUGGGAUUUUUUACUUGAAAAAGCCAUGUCAUGAUCAAGAGGAGAGAUCAAGGAGACUAACUAUCUACAUGACCUUGGAAAAGUCACUUCCUCUACUUUUUCUCAUAUUCGAAGUGAUAAGAUGGGGAAGCUGAGAAUCAGAGGAGUACCAGAUCUAACUAAGGUCACACAGCUAUCAAAUGGUACAAGCUUCAUCUCAAAACAAGUGUACUGAUUCCAAAUCCAGUACCCAUCUGCAAUGUCAUGCAACUAGCAAAAGCCUCAAUAACGCUCCAACCCUCAGACUCCUGUGAGAGGAAGGAGUUAUUUGAGAACUUCUGCUGAAGCAAAUCUUACUUGGGAUUGCAUCACAGAACUAAGAUUGUUGUGCCUCAACCCAACAUGUCUGUCUGCCAGGACUACAGACCCUUUGACUGCCUGACAGCUGUUACACAAAUGAUUCUUCAGCAUUUCCUUGCCUAACUGGAUUUUUGAUGUCCUGCCAGCUCCUGACCCACAGUCACUGAUAGCUUUCAUGCUGGUGCCUGGUUUCCAAGGUUAGAACAUCCAUUUCAAGGGUCAUAUUCCUGUCCUAUUUUUAGCAGUGCAACAUCAUCACUAAGAACAAUACUGUAAAAAACAAACAACUCUGAAAGCUAUAAGAACUAUGAUAAAAACAGUGACUAUUCAUGAUGCCAAUCAACUGAUGA